UACGUAGGGUGCAAGCGUUGUCCGGAAUUAUUGGGCGUAAAGAGCUCGUAGGCGGUUUGUCGCGUCGAAUGUGAAAACCCGGGGCUCAACCCCGGGCCUGCAUUCGAUACGGGCAGACUAGAGUUCGGUAGGGGAGACUGGAAUUCCUGGUGUAGCGGUGAAAUGCGUAGAGAUCCGGAGGAACACCGACGGCGCAGGCAGCGUCCUGGCCGCUUGCUGACACUGAGGCACGAAAGCUGGGGGAGCAAACAGG
rnacentral:rRNA from 1 species